UUUUUUUUUUUUUUAAAGCAAUUUAUUGGAUUUUACAAUAGGAAUAAAUGUAAUAAACAAUAUAACAUUCGUCUUAACAUUAUUUCACAUUUUCUUUGGACUUCCUCACAUCUCCCGCUCCCACCUUCAUCAUUAUAACAUUUUGUCAGCAAUUUAUCAUCUUAUUUAAGUUCUUAUAUCUCUUCGAUAUUUCAUAAUCUUAAAGUUCUCAUAAAGAGUUAAACUUUCACAGUUUUUCUUAUUUUCUUAAAAACUUCUAAGUUAAGUGGUGCUCAGUUAUUUAGUCUAGCAUCUUAUUCAGCAUUCAGUCAAAUCACAAUGCUUUUGUAGAUAGUUCUUAAAUUUCUUCCAAUCCUCCUCGAUUCUCUCUUCUCCCAGGUCACGGAUUCUGCCAGUCAUUUCAGCCAGUUGCAUAUAGUCUAUCAGUUGCAUCUGCCAUUCUUCCAGUGUGGGUAGAUCUUGAGUUUUCCAAUGUUUUGCGAGUAGUAUCCUUGCUGCUGUUGUUGCAUACAUAAAAAAUGUCUGGUCCUUCUUUGCCACCCCUUGGCUGACAAUACCCAAAAGGAAAGCCUCUGGUUUCUUAGUGAAAGUAUAUUUAAAUACCUUUUUCAAUUCAUUAUAAAUCAUUUCCCAGAACGCCUUCACUUUAGGGCAGGUCCACCAGAGGUGAAAGAACGUUCCUUCACACUCUUUACAUUUCCAGCACUUGUUAUCAGACAGGUGGUAAAUUUUUGCGAGUUUGACUGGGGUCAUAUACCAUCUAUAAAUCAUUUUCAUUACAUUUUCUUUCAAAGCAUUACAUGCAGUGAAUUUCAAUCCAUUACUCCACAGCCUUUCCCAGUCCUCAAACAUAAUGUUAUGCCCAAUAUCCUGUGCCCACCUUAUCAUAGCCGAUUUAACCAUUUCAUCUUGUGUAUUCCAUUCCAACAGCAAGUUAUACAUCCUUGAAAGUAUCUUAGUCUUUGGUUCUAACAAUUCUGUUUCUAAUUUCGAUUUCUCCACCUGGAACCCUAGUUUCUUAUCAUUUUUAAAAACUUCUUUAAUCUGAGCAUAAUGUAACCAAUCUCGCACUUUGUCUUUCAUUUUCUCCAAACUCUGCAAUUUCCAAUUGUCUCCAUCUUCUCUAGUAUUUCCCAAUAUUUUGGCCAUUUGGCCUCCAUAUUGGGUCUUUUUCGGGCCUUAGCUUCCAAAGGUGAAAGCCACCUUGGUGUUUUAUUUUCCAGCAAGUCUUUAUAUUUUGUCCAGACAUUAAACAGUGAUUUUCUAACAAUAUGGUUCUUAAAGGCCUUAUUUGCUUUAACUUUGUCAUACCAUAAAUAUGCAUGCCAUCCAAAAACAUUGUUAAACCCUUCCAAAUCCAACACAUCAGUGUUUUCAAGAAGUAGCCAAUCUUUUAGCCAGCAGAACGCUGCGGCUUCGUAAUACAACUUUAAGUCCGGCAGGGCAAAGCCCCCUCUUUGUUUUGCAUCAGUUAGUAUCUUAAACUUAAUUCUGGGCUUUUGCCCUGCCAGACAAACUUCGAAAUGUCUCUCUGCCACUUCUGAAAGCACUCCAUUUUGUCCAAAACCUGAAGUGUUUGAAAUAAAAACAACAUUCUUGGCAAUACAUUCAUCUUAAUCGCAGCAAUUCGGCCUAACAAAGAAAGUUUCAAUUUUGACCAACUGUCUAAGUCUCUCUUAAUUUCUGUCCAACAUUUUUCAUAGUUAUCCUUAAAUAGACUUAGAUUUUUGCUGUUAUGUUUACCCCUAGGGAGUUUACUUUUUUAACCACAUUAAGUUCCGUCUCGUUCUGAAACUGUUCUGACUCUGUCUCAGUCAAAUUUUUCCCAAAACCUUGGUUUUCUGUUUAUUUAAUUUAAAUCCCGCCACCCGACCAAAGUCAUUAAUCAGUUGUAAUACUCUUUUCGUACUAGGCUCUGGCUUCUGCAAGGUCAAAACCAGGUCAUCUGCAAAAGCUUUUAGUUUAUAUUGUUUCUGACCAACCUGAAUUCCUUCCACCAACUGGUCCCCUCUAAUCAUGUUCAAUAGCACUUCCAGAACCGAAAUAAAUAACAAAGGGGAGAUAGGGCAGCCUUGUCGUGUCCCUUUUUCAAUUUUGAACUCUUCUGUAACCACAUUAUUAACUAUCAGUUUAGCUUUCUGUUCUGAAUAUAUCGCCUCAAUCCCAUUCUCGAAACCCCGUCCCACUCCCAUCUCUUUUAAGUUUCCCAUCAUAAAUUUCCAAGAAAUAUUAUCAAAGGCCUUCUCCGCAUCUAUAAAAAUUAAAACUGCUUUUGUAUUUAUGUCAGUUUGGAGAAGUUCCAAAAUAUCAAUAAUGUUCCUUGUGUUAGCAAACAGAUGUCUACCUGGGAGAAAACCGGCCUGGUCCUUAUGAAUUACUUCAUUUAAAACUUUUUAAAUCUACUUGCCAAAAUAUCUGCAAAUAUUUUGUAAUCCACAUUUAAAAGGGAGAUGGGACGGUAGUUCUUCAGUUGUGUCUUUUCAGCUUCUGACUUUGGUAUCAAUGUGAUAAACGCUUCCUUCCACGAAUCGGGUGCCCUCUUCCCCUCCAUAAUUUCAUUGCUAACCUCCAUCAAGGGUUGUAUCAAAUAGUCUUUUAGUGUCUUAUAAUACUUGGAGGUCAGCCCGUCUGGCCCUGGAGAUUUGCCGAGUUGCAUGUUCUGAAUAGCUUGUUCAAUCUCCUGUCGUGUUAUUUUAGAGUUCAGGGUUGUCCUAUUUUCUUGUGACAGUUUAGAUAAUCCAUUUUUGCCAAAAAUUGUUUAAUCUCAACUUCGUCUUGCGGCCCUUGGGUAUAUAGUUUUUUAAAAUAUCUCUGGAAACACUUUCUAAUGUCCACUGGAUUCUGGAUGUUUCUUCCAUCGACCUCUAAAUUUGUAACCGUAUUUAAUCUUUGUCUUCUCUUCAACUGCCAAGAUAGCAGUUUUCCACAUUUAUUCGCCGACUCAAACGUUUUUGUUUCAUUAAUUUAAUCUUCCAUUCAAUUUCCUGAUUUAUCAAUUUAGAAUAUUGUGUUUGAUACAGUUUAAUUUCUCUCAGAGUUGGCUGUGACUUUGGAUUCACUCUUAAUUUCUUCUCUAAUUCUUUUAUUUUAUCCAAAAUCUUGUCUUUUUUCUCAUUUUGUGUUUUUUUCUUUACUACAUUCUGUUGUAUCAGGAAUCCCCUCAUGACAGCUUUGCUUGCGUCCCAGACGAUUCUUUUUCCACCGAAUUGUUCAUGUUUAUCUCGAAAUAGUCUUUCAAAACUUUUUGGGCCUUCUUGGUAAUUUCCUGAUCUCUAAACAAAUUGUCAUUCAUCUUCCAUCUAAAGGAUCCAGUUGGUAGUAGUGUCAUAUCCAUCUUUACUGCGUUGUGGUCAGAGCAGGUCUUUGGGCAGAUUUCCACUUUUCUAACCCUAGGUGCCAGGCCUCUAGAGAUCCAUAUUUGGUCGAUUCUUGUCCAGGUCAGUUGGGCUUCAGAAAAGAAUGUUCCUUCUCUACCUAGUGGGUUCUUUGUUCUCCAAAUGUCAAUCAAGUCCAUAUUGUCAGUCAUUUCAAAAAGGUUUUAGGUAGUCUGCCAUCUUUUGUGACAUUUUGACUUUGCGACUUGUCCAUGUUAGUUGACACGACCCCGUUCAUGUCUCCCAUCAUUAUGAUGUUGUUGUAAUCCAGAUGAUCCAGCAUUGUCCCCUGCAACUUCUUGUAAAAUUCCGAUUUCCCUUCAUUGGGCGCAUAGAUUCCUAAUAUCAGCAGUUUCUCUCCUUGAUAUUGUAUCUCAAUAGCCAAAAUCCUUCCAUGUUCAUCUUUAAAUAGAAAUUUAGGUGACAGGCUCUCUUUUGCAUAUAUCACCACUCCUCUCUUCUUCACUUUGUCCGACGAAAUAAAUUCCUGGCCCAAUCUUUUAUUUAUUAACACUUUUCUGUGGAGCCUCGUCACAUGUGUUUCUUGUAAACAAAUAAUGUCCAAUUGUUCUUGUUUUAAUAUAUGAAAUAUUUUCUUCCUUUUCUCCGGAAUAUUGCAACCAUUAAUGUUCCAGCUCAACAGUUGCAGAGACAUCCUGGAUCUGUCUGGUUAUUUCUCCCGGGGUGGUGUCUUCUCUGGGUCUUCAAGCUCCCCAGGUGGAGGUAUUGACGCUGGCUUUGCCCCAGGCCCGGAAGGUAGUUCAAUUCCUUUAUGUAGGUCCUCUCCGUAUGUAGCCAGAAAUUUAUCUCUCUCUUCCAAUGUUCUAAUUUUGACCUUUCUCGCUCUAAAGGUAAAAGAUAAUCCUUGGGGAAAUUCCCACCUGAAUGGAAUUGCGUUGCUCCUUAGUAGUUUAGCAAGUUCAGAGUAGGCGGCUCUAAGGUCCAACAGUUGUCUUGGGAUAUCUUUAUAUAUCUCAAUUCUUCUAUCCAAAACCUCCAGUGACUUUUCGUAAUGUAGACCCAAAAUCUUAUCCCUUUCCUCCUUCGAUCUCAAUGUAAUCAAACAAUCCCUGGGCCUCUCCUUCUUUAUAAAUCUUCCAAGUCUGAAAGCUGACACAAUUUUAAAGUCCUUUUCUUCCAAAUUCCAGAACUUGGAAAGUUCUUUGGUCAAAAACUCAGUUAGAUUUCCUUCUUCUGCCUCUUGUAAUGAUCUAAUCCUCAAAUUGUUCUCACGAUUUCGCAGUUCUAUCAUAGAAAGAUAAGUCUGAUGUUCCCCAACUUGUUUAGUGAGUGGUCUUACCUCUUGCUCUAAAUUUUCCAAUUUUUGUCUGGUAUCCUCAGCCAAUUUUCGAUUUUCUACUGAGGCCUCCGUCAACUGUCCAAUUGCUUGUGUAUUCUGUCCCACCUGUGUAGUUAAUUUGUUUAGACAGUCUGUAUUUUUAUCAAUCUUUGCUGAUUGCGCAUCUACUUUCUUGUCCAAAGCUUCCAAUUUUUCAAAGAUUUUUUCUAGCACAGAAACAGAUGAUCCUGAGGCCAUAUCUUCCAAUUGUAACUGCUCUGCUUCACCCUCUCCCUCUUUUGCCUGUGGCAAGUCAGCUUCUUCAAGUUGUACUUCUGAGGGCAAAGUAGGCACAGAUGAUCUACGUGUCUGCGAGGCUGAGGUUAGAUUUGUUAGAGUUGUUUGUCUAACUCUUCCUCUUCUUCUUGUACCACUCAUUCCAAUGUUAUCUAUAAGUCAAGGUCACACUGAGUUUUUCCCACAGGAAUAGAGAGGCCCAGAGCAAGCAAACAACAAGGGAAUCGAAAGUAAAUGUAUUUGUAAAGUCACUGUUUUAAUCCAAUCCUCUAGAGGGAGCUUAAGAUGUCUUUCAGAGUCUGAUUUAAUGUCCCAGAACCUUCCAAUAUAAGUAUUAAGCAGAGUUUAAAAGUAAUCACUUUGUUGCAGACAGUGCUUAUUUGUCUCCAAAAAGAAUGUUUCAAAUUUAAAAGGUCUCAAUACCCUCAGAUUGUUGCAACUUCUAAUAUACAGUAUCCAAAUCAACACUGACAGCUCGCUCUUACAGUGCUCAAGCAAUCCUGACUCUGGGUUUCACCUUCCAAUUUGUAAUCCAAUAAAAGGGGGAAAGUCAAGUACAAAUAAAAGAUCCAAAUCUUUAACUUACUAGUUUUACUUUAAAUUGUAAGUUCCAUAGAUGCUUGACUGUGUAGAGUUUAAAGUCUCUUUCUUUCAGCCUCCACUCCUCCGCCUUAGUUGCUUUUUUCCAAGUUCAAUGGCAGCGGAAGACGGACUUCCUGUUUCCACGUCUCUCCGCUUUCAGCCAAAUUCAAGCCAAAUUUAACCUUCUCAUUUAAAAUUUGUAAUUCCAAGUGAUUCAGUCUUUACUCACGAGUAAGUUGUUUUCUUCCAGGUCCGAAUUUUAACAGGAAAAGGGAUCAGCGCUCACCGGCAGCAGCAGCGCGGCUUCACUCCGCUGACUGUGAAACGGCUCACAGCGCCGCAACCCCCCUCCACGCUCCGGAGCCCCUUACGAGGCUCCUUCUGCAGUUGGAGGGCUGCUCUUGGCGCCCGCCGAGCCUCAGGACCCCAGGCUCUUGCUGCCUGGGGUUUUCCUCGUUGGGUCUCCGCUUCGCCGUAGCGGACGACCCGAUUUCAGCGGAGCCUCUUCUCCCGUCGGGAGAAGACCGCCAUUGCCGUUCGCGCCGCCCCCCGGAAGU
rnacentral:lncRNA from 1 species